rnacentral:lncRNA from 1 species
CUGGGGUUCCCCGGGGAAGGGCACAACUCACUACGUUACCUACAGAUCCUUCAGACUGGCCAGGAGAUCAUGGAACUGGACACCAGUGGCUUUGCCACACAGGGCCCCACGGUUUUUGCUGGAAACAUUGGGGACAAUCGCUACAUUGUCCAAGUGUCACCACUGGGCAUCCGCUUGCUAGAAGGAGGUAGGUGGGCAAGUGUAGGGAAGCGCGUCCUGGGGAGUAUGCUGCAUUGGCCACCCUGUGCUGACCACCCUGUGCCCACAGUGAAUCAGCUGCACUUCAUCCCUGUGGACCUGGGUGCCCCCAUCGUGCAGUGCGCUGUGGCCGACCCCUAUGUGGUCAUCAUGAGCGCCGAGGGCCGUGUUACCAUGUUCCUGCUCAAGAGUGAUUCGUAUGGUGGCCGCCACCACCGCCUUGCACUGCACAAGCCUCCACUGCACCAUGUAGGCCUCACCCUCUGUGUCUGCCAUCCCUGCCUAUGAUCCCCUAUCCCCACUGUCCCCGACCUACACUGGGCUUUGUCUCUCCCUGCAGCAGUCCAAGGUGAUCACACUCUGCCUGUAUCGUGAUGUCAGCGGCAUGUUCACCACCGAGAGCCGCCUGAGUGGGGCCCGUGAUGAGAUGGGGGGCCGCAGUGGUUCAGAGGCCGAAGGACUGGGCUCAGAGACCAGGUGUGCAGGGGGCCAGGGUGCAGGAGACCUGGGUCUCUGUGGCAGAUUGAGACAUGUCUGUGUCUUCAGCCCUACAGUGGAUGACGAGGAGGAGAUGCUCUAUGGGGACUCAGGCUCCCUCUUCAGCCCCAGCAAAGAGGAGGCCCGGAGGAGCAGCCAGCCCCCUGCUGACCGAGACCCUGCACCCUUUCGGGCAGAGCCCACCCACUGGUGCCUGCUGGUGCGAGAGAACGGCACCAUGGAGGUAGGUGCACACAUGUGGCUCAGCAGCCCUGGCAGCAUGGCAGGCCCUAUCGUCACUGACUGCUGUCCCCCACCAGAUCUACCAGCUUCCAGACUGGCGGCUGGUGUUCCUGGUGAAGAACUUCCCUGUGGGGCAGCGGGUCCUGGUGGACAGUUCCUUUGGACAGCCUACCACGCAGGGUGAGGCCCGCAAGGAAGAGGCCACGCGCCAGGGGGAGCUGCCCCUGGUCAAGGAGGUGCUGCUGGUUGCUCUGGGGAGUCGCCAGAGCAGGCCCUACCUGCUGGUGAGCCCUUUGGUGCCUGCCCAGAGGCUGGGACCUGCCCUCACAGCCCAGCCCAUUCCUCCACUCUGUCCUCGGGGCCCAGCCCCACCUCGUGGCCCACCCUGUCUCACUUCCAGGUGCAUGUGGACCAGGAGCUGCUUAUCUAUGAGGCUUUUCCCCAUGACUCUCAGCUUGGCCAGGGCAAUCUCAAAGUUCGCUUCAAGAAGGUGCAGCUGCUAGACCCUUUUGGGGUGGGUUGGGAGGGGUCCAGGCUACAGGGUCUGAAGGGCCUGGCGUUCAUCAACACCUUCACCAGGUCCCCCACAACAUCAAUUUCCGUGAAAAGAAGGCAAAACCCUCCAAGAAGAAGGCAGAAGGUGGCAGUGUGGAGGAGGGUUCUGGGGCCCGGGGACGUGUGGCACGUUUCCGCUACUUCGAGGACAUUUAUGGCUAUUCUGGGGUAGGCAGGCAGCUUUGUUUGGGCUUGGGGGUAGGGGAACAGGACCUUGCCCACAUGUUCUCACAGUGUCUGUCUCCAGGUGUUCAUCUGUGGCCCCUCACCCCACUGGCUCCUAGUGACUGGCCGGGGGGCUCUGCGGCUGCACCCCAUGGGCAUCGAUGGCCCCAUCGACUCCUUCGCCCCAUUCCACAAUGUCAAUUGUCCCCGAGGCUUUCUGUAUUUCAACAGACAGGUAGGAAGGUUAACUCUGGCCGCACCACAAGCACUGGUACUGCCCUGGCAAAGCUAGGCGCUAGGGACAGGAGGGCUCCUCAGCUGCAGCACAUCCCAGAGGACCAGGGAUGACUAUCUAGAGGAGGGUAGGGCCCAGGAGGUGGGAUCUGGGGCUUGAGGCUGGAGCAGUUGGCAGUGGAGGCCUGGCUGAUGGGGCAUACCCUGAAAGCCCUUGCCUCAUCUGUGACACCCACAUGGCAGCAAUGACCACCUGAGUCACUGACAGACUCUGGUGUUGAGUGCUUCCAAGGGGCUAAUGCACUCAGGACUGGACAGAAGCUGAGGCUGGGGCUGGCAGGGUCUCCCUCUGCCUGUGUUCUUCAGUCCCUGGCAUGGCCAGUCUCAGUCAUGUGGCUUUUAGUCUCUAGUGUCCUCUGGGCUUGGACUCCCAUGCCCUGUGCUGUAUUCCCCAGCCAGAAGGAUGGACAGGAGCCUACUGAUAGAAGGCAUGGGGACUGACGACCAAGGCUACAGCUCUUCCAGACCUUCCCCAGACUCGGUGACCCUAGCCAGGCAGUAGCGAGGCCUGCAGCCCUAGGCCUUGCUGACUAUUUCCACCCACCCCAGGGUGAGCUGCGGAUCAGUGUCCUGCCUGCCUACUUGUCCUACGAUGCCCCAUGGCCCGUCAGGAAGAUCCCACUGCGCUGCACGGCUCACUAUGUGGCUUACCAUGUGGAGUCCAAGGUCUGUCCCCUCCCCCAGCACUCCCUCCCCCAGGCACCCCAGGCGUGUGACACCAUUCAACUCCUAGGUGUACGCCGUGGCCACCAGCACCAAUACACCCUGCACCCGCAUCCCGCGCAUGACUGGUGAGGAAAAGGAGUUUGAGGCCAUUGAGAGAGGUAUGUGCCACCAGGGGUGGGGUGGACCAUGCCCAGGGCUGGCUACGACCACUGCCUCCUUGUCCCUGCAGAUGACAGGUACAUCCACCCCCAACAGGAGGCCUUCUCCAUCCAGCUCAUCUCCCCAGUCAGCUGGGAGGCCAUUCCCAAUGCCAGGUGAUGUUGGGCCCAGUGGGGGCUUCCGGGUGCCAGCAGGGCAGGACUAGGGUGUCCUGAUACAGCCUGUCCUUGUGCAGAAUUGAGCUGGAGGAAUGGGAACACGUCACAUGCAUGAAGACAGUGUCGCUGCGCAGUGAGGAGACUGUGUCGGGCCUCAAGGGCUAUGUGGCUGCUGGGACCUGCCUCAUGCAGGGAGAGGAGGUCACGUGCCGCGGGCGGGUAAGCAGCUGCCAGGUGGGGACAGGCGGCCCUUGGCAGCCUGUCUGCCAUCCCCACAUGUUCCCUUGCCCUGCCAGAUCCUCAUCAUGGACGUGAUUGAGGUGGUGCCCGAACCUGGCCAGCCCCUAACCAAGAACAAGUUCAAGGUCCUAUACGAAAAGGAACAGAAGGGGCCUGUGACCGCCCUGUGCCACUGCAAUGGUCACCUGGUGUCAGCCAUUGGCCAGAAGGUACACAGCUACUCCUCCCUGCUGUGUUUCUGCCUGCUCACCCUGCCCACUCCACUGACCCUUCUGCCCCCUAGAUCUUCCUGUGGAGCCUGCGGGCCAGUGAGCUGACGGGCAUGGCCUUCAUCGACACCCAGCUGUACAUCCACCAGAUGAUCAGCGUCAAGAACUUCAUCUUAGCUGCAGAUGUCAUGAAGAGCAUCUCACUGCUGCGCUACCAAGAAGAGAGCAAGACGCUGAGCCUGGUGUCCCGGGUACUUCAUGUGGUCUUGGGGUACAGGUGAGAGUCAUACUCGGGCUCCUCCUGACACCUUCUGCUCCCUGACAACAGGAUGCCAAGCCUCUGGAGGUGUACAGUGUGGACUUCAUGGUGGACAAUGCCCAGCUGGGCUUUUUGGGUGAGUAGGGUCUUGGGGGAGUGUCACCCUGGGGGUGGCUGGAGCUGACUCUGGGUCUUUGCUCCCUAGUGUCUGACCGAGACCGCAACCUCAUGGUGUACAUGUACCUGCCAGAAGGUCAGUGGCUCCCUCCCUCACUUGUUUUUUUCAAUGUUUUUUAGUAGUUGAUGGACCUCUAUUUAUUUGUAUGUGGUGCUGAGAGUCGAACCCAGUGCAUCACACAUGCUAGACAAGCUAUCACUGAGCCACAACCCCAGCCCUCCCUCCCUCACUUCUACUCCGGCUGGGUAUUGGGCACUGGGUGGGCAGUGAUCUGAGUUCUUCUGUCCUAGCCAAGGAGAGCUUUGGGGGCAUGCGCCUGCUGCGCAGGGCAGACUUCCACGUGGGUGCCCACGUGAACACGUUCUGGAGAACGCCAUGCAGGGGGGCCACUGAGGGGCCCAGCAAGAAGUCGGUGGUGUGGGAGAACAAGCACAUCACGUGGUUUGGUGAGUGGGGUGGGGUAACUGAGCUCACUGCCCCCUCGAGCCACACUGGAUGACUAGGGGGUUGACCUGGCUCACGCUUCCCCCCAUCCCCAGCCACACUGGAUGGCGGCAUCGGGCUCCUGCUGCCCAUGCAGGAGAAGACCUACCGGAGGCUGCUGAUGCUGCAGAACGCACUGACCACCAUGUUGCCCCACCAUGCUGGUCUCAACCCCCGUGCCUUCCGGUGAGCACCCACCAUCCUCAGGGCUCUGCCUACCCUCCCAGGUUGCCCUGACCCCCCACACCCCCUCCCCAGGAUGUUGCAUGUGGACCGGCGCAUCCUACAGAACGCAGUGCGCAACGUGCUUGACGGAGAGCUGCUCAACCGCUACCUGUACCUCAGCACUAUGGAGCGUGGGGAGCUGGCCAAGAAGAUUGGCACGACCCCAGACAUUGUGAGUUGGCCUGCUUUCCCCCGCCCAUCCUGUCCCUGCCCUGCUGAGCCCUGCCCUGACGGCUUUCACCCUACAGAUCCUUGAUGACCUGCUGGAGACUGACCGUGUCACCGCCCACUUCUAAGCAUGUGGAUGCCACCCUGCCCCCGCACACUGCCUCCCCCCACCUUUUGUACAAAACAAGGAAAAC